ACUCAGAGCACCAUCACCAUCGUCUUUCUUACAGUUCCGUUUUUUUUUUUUGGCUGAGCUGGGUAUUCGUUGCUGCUCUGGACUCUUCUUUAGUCGCAGUGAGUGGGGGCUACUCUCUAGUUGCAGUGCGCGGGCUUCCGUUGUGGAGGCUUCUUUUGUUGUGGAGCACCGGCUCUAGGCUGUGCAGCCUACCACAGCUGUGGCUCUUGGGCUCUAGAGCGCAGACUCAGUAGCUGUGGUACGCGGGCUUAGUCGGUCUGUGGCAUGUGGGAUCUUUCUGGACCAGGGAUCGAACGCGUGUCUCCUGCAUUAUCAGGUGGAUUCCUCACCACUGAGCCACCAGGGAAGCCACUUAUAGUUACUUGUAUUUAGCACUUACUGUGUGCCAUUCCAAAUACUUCUGAGUCUUAUCAUACUUAAUCCUCACAGUAAAGAUAUGCGGCAGCAAACAUUAUCAUCACCAUUUACAGAUGACAAACCAGAGGCAGGAUAGAGUUAUCUGACCUGGGCAAAGCUGCAGUUGGAACCCAGAGACCCAGGACCCGGAUGCUUGUUAAAGACUGCAUAAGGAGCUGCCCUGACUGGCUGAUCCCAUGGGAAAUGGACAUUGGAACUGAUACCUUAAGGGGCACCAGUAUCUUUGGCAGUUCCAGCUGAGGACAGGAAGGCCCUCCCUAAAGUUCAGCGAGCACUCAGGAAGGGGAGCCCCUUAGAGGUGAUUGUGGAAUGCUGGCUGAGCCUUGGAGGUGGUAAUUGAGGGGGGCAGCCAGUCCCAAACUCUGAUGUCCCUUUGGCCCCAGUUAGAGAUGGCGUCCUGGGUGGCUGUGCCCUAUUCUAGACAUACACAGGCCAGGGCCUAGGAUUAGCACACAGGGGCAGCCAGGAGCCCCCUCUGCAGGCCCCCAUCCCCCGGGGGUGCCUCGCCUGGCCAUCUCCCCCAGGGUAUGGGGGUUGGGCUGUGACUCUGAGCCCCUCUGCCACCUGCCUCAGGUCUGGUCUCCCUGCAGGGCACAUGGACAGAGGACCAUUCGCACCACAGAGUGGCUGAGCCCGUGCAAGUGGGCCUGGCUUUGCCCCACCCUACGCCCAGCAGCCCUGGGAAAACAAUGCCUUCUAAACACUGAGGCUGGGUGGCACUCAUUAGCACAAAGCUCCUUCCCUGCCCUCUGUUCCUGCACGGCAGCUGCCCAUCGGGUUACCUCUGGGAAGGGGCACCCUGGACAGGGCACUCCAGGGACUCUGGUCCUCUGCAUCCCUGGGAGCCUGGCUUUAAUCGCUCUCCUCCAGAAGUAUUUCUGCCCUGAUCCAGCCAACCCAAGGGCAGGCUCCCCUUCCCUGGAUGCCCACCACCUUGUUAUCUGUGUCACUCUUUGCUCAUUGCUCAAAUAAAUACUUAGCUGAUGGUAAUCAAAUACUGUUUGUUUGUUUUUAAACUUGUCCUUUCCCUCUAAUAAACCAAGUGAUUCCUGAGGGUCUUUCAAUGACUAGCAAUGACUGUG
rnacentral:lncRNA from 1 species